rnacentral:rRNA from 1 species
UGGCGAACUCCUACGGGAGGCAGCAGUGGGGAAUAUUGCGCAAUGGGCGCAAGCCUGAUGCAGCGACGCCGCGUGAGGGAUGACGGCCUUCGGGUUGUAAACCUCUGUUAGCAGGGAAGAAGAGAGAUUGACGGUACCUGCAGAGAAAGCGCCGGCUAACUACGUGCCAGCAGCCGCGGUAAUACGUAGGGCGCGAGCGUUGUCCGGAAUUAUUGGGCGUAAAGAGCUUGUAGGCGGUUUGUCGCGUCUGCUGUGAAAGGCCGGGGCUUAACCCCGGGUAUUGCAGUGGGUACGGGCAGACUAGAGUGCAGUAGGGGAGACUUGCACUCCUGGUGUAGCGGGGGAAUGCGCAGAUAUCAGGAAGAACACCGAUGGCGAAGGCAGGUCUCUGGGCUGUAACUGACGCUGAGAAGCGAAAGCAUGGGGAGCGAACAGGAUUAGAUACCCCGGUAGUCCU